CGGGGGUUUUCCGGUUAGGGUGAAACCUGCGGAAGGAUCAUUAAUGAAAAACUUACUACAAGUUUUUUAUAUCCCAUUGUCCUUUACCUACCCUGUUGCUUCCACUGGACAUGUUUUACCUUUGCCUGUAAGACCUUUGGCUUGUGUGAAUAACUCAUGCCAGAGAGUUGCCAGUGGGAAGACCAUCUACCAAAACUUGAUUGAAAACAAAUUGUCUGAAUCUUUUGCUUUAAUGAAAUAAAACUUUCAACAACGGAUCUCUAGGCUCUUGCAUCGAUGAAGAACGCAGUGAAAUGCGAUAAGUAAUGUGAAUUGCAGAAUCUCGUGAAUCAUCGAAUCUUUGAACGCACAUUGCGCCCUAUGGUAUUCCGUAGGGCAUGCCUGUCUGAGCGUCAGCUCCCUUCUCCUCAAGUAUUCUUUUUGUAAUACUUGGAUAACUUUGGAGAGGUGACUUAUAAUAGAGUCGUCCUUCAGAAAUUCAUAGGCAGUAUGAUUUGUACUCGAAUCAGACGUAAUAAUAAUAAAGUCGUUUAUUUGAGUAUAAUUGUGCUUGCCUCAACUCACCCACUCUUUUUUCUUUUUGGGUGACCUCAGAUCAGGUAGGGGAUACCCCGCUGAACUUUAAGCAUAUCAAUAAAGCGGGAGGAAAAAA
rnacentral:rRNA from 1 species